GGACAUGCCUCCCCAGUCGACUCUCCCCUUCUCCAGUGUGCAGGAACUGUGGCCAGGCAUGCGGCUCCAGCCGGAGACCGUAUUCCCCACCUUUCCUUCCCAGGAGUGGCCUGAGGGCUCUGUUCUAUAUGACGAGAUCUAAACAGAAAGACUAAAGCACACACAUAGCAUUUGGCCGGGCACAGUGGCUCACGCCUAUAAUCCCAGCACUUUGGGAGGCCGAGGCAAGCAGAUCACGACAUCAGGAGUUUGAGACCAGCCUGGCCAAUAUGGUGAAACGCUGUCUCUAAAUAAAAAUAGAAAAAAUUAGCCCAGCGUGGUGGCACACACCUGUAGUGCCAGCUACUCAGGAGGCUGAGGCAGAAGAAUCACUUGAACCCGGGAGGCAGAGGUUGCAGUGAGCUGAGAUGGUGCCACUGCACUCUAGCCUAAGCAACAGAGCAAGACUCUAUCUCAAAAAAAAAAGCAAAAAAUGAAAAUAAUAAACAAGAACUUAAAGCCAAGAAAAUUAUUCUAUAUUUGAGCUAAUACUUGUUUAAAUGAGGGUUAAGGUUUGGUUUUGUUUUCAAGUUUUGGAAAACUUAGUCUUAAAAACUGCUAGAAAGAGCUAAAUAAGUCAGCUCUGAGCCUGCUGCCUCUCCCUCUGCACUGGAUGUGAAAUGUAAAGCCUACAGAGGGACCUGGAUCUGCAUAUGCUCAUCAAGGCAGUCUGGAGUUCAAGGCACAGCUGCAUUUUCACAAGAAGCUUUCAUCUAAGCACUGACGUCAAUAAAAAUCACGACUGUUCACAAUCUGCAACACAAGGUUUCUUUGCUGAGAGCUUUUCCCAAAGCCUCUCUAACCAUGAAAGCUAUUUCAGGGCUGACACGCCACUAUCCAGGCAAGGAAAACACUGAGGUUUCCCCUUGCUCCAGGAUCAUCUUUGCGAUUUGGUGUUGUUCUUAACCUUCUCACCAUCAAUAUUUCAGCCUAAAUAAAAGUGCUUGAAAACAAUACCAUAUUAACAGACACAAUCAUGCUGACAACAAGCCUCCCAGCAGUGGCUUUUCCCUGACAGGCUGUGCGACAUCGGACUCACCACACAGAACAAGGGGGCAUGGGCCUGGUCCUGAUCCAUCACUGAUUCCCCUCUUCUCGCCCUCCCCACCCCCCACCAAUCACAGUCCCAGCCCCAUUUAAAUGGGAGAAACUGGAUUCUGUAGCUGAGCGCUGGGAGGAGAAGCAAGAGCAGCCUAGAGACCUCCUGUCCCUGCACCAGAGCCCUGGACAUGCAGUGCGCAGGCCACUGAUGGAGGCAGGCAUCCGUCCAGCUUUGCUGCCAACCCCUCUUACCUUUGUACCUGCCGUACAGCUGCUCCAGCUUCUUCUUGUCCACAGUGUUCCGCAUGGACUCCCUGUGGAAUGAGUCUGGGUUUUGGAAGAAGCUGUCCGUGGCCUCGUCUAGUCUCCACUCAUUCUGCGUUAAGCAGUAGAUAGCAGUUCUCUCGCCAGCCUGAGUGCAUGCCAUAAACUGGCGGACCUUGUCCCUCUGAGACGAUUUAAGCUUAUGCU